rnacentral:rRNA from 1 species
GACGAACGCUGGCGGCGUGCCUAACACAUGCAAGUCGAACGAAGCACUGUAAGUUGAGACUUCGGUUGAUUCUUACUUUGACUUAGUGGCGGACGGGUGAGUAAUGCGUGAGCAACCUGCCUCGGAGUGGGGGACAACAGUUGGAAACGACUGCUAAUACCGCAUGAUGUAUUUUGAGGGCAUCCUCUGAAUACCAAAGAUUUAUUGCUCUGAGAUGGGCUCACGUCUGAUUAGUUAGUUGGUGAGGUAACGGCUCACCAAGACUGCGAUCAGAGGCCGGACUGGGAGGUUGAACGGCCACAUUGGGACUGAGAUACGGCCCAGACUCCUACGGGAGGCAGCAGUGGGGAAUAUUGGGCAAUGGGCGAAAGCCUGACCCAGCAACGCCGCGUGAAGGAAGAAGGCCUUCGGGUUGUAAACUUCUUUUGGCAGGGACGAAUAAAAUGACGGUACCUGCAGAAUAAGCCACGGCUAACUACGUGCCAGCAGCCGCCGUAACAC